rnacentral:rRNA from 1 species
AAGCGCUUGCAACCAGACUUGCGCGCUGUUGAUCAUCCGAGCUUCUGCCCGGUGCACUCAGCAGCGUUCAGGCCAGCAUCGGUUUUGGUGGGCGGAUAAAGGCCUUGGGAAUGUAUCUACCCACGGGUAGACUUAUAGACCGGGGUGUCAUGCGACCUCUCGGGACCGAGGAACGCGCUUCGGCUCGGAUGUUGGCGUAAUGGUUGUCAGCGA